rnacentral:rRNA from 1 species
CCCUUAGAUGUUCUGGGCUGCACGCGUGCUACACUGAUUAUUUCAACAAGUGUUUUAACUGGCGAGUUUGCGUAAUCCUGAAAUGUUAUCGUGAUGGGAGUAGAGUAUUGUAUUUGUUAAUCUUUAACGAGGAAUUCCUAGUAAGUGUAGGUUUAUAAGUUGUUCUGAUUACGUCCCUGCCCUUUGUACACACCGCCCGUCGCUCCUACCGAUUGAUUGAUCCGUGAAUUACAUAGAAUUUUGCGUUUUACAUGACGGAAGAUGAAGUGUUUUAAACCUUAUCAUUUAGAGGAAGGAGAAGUCGUAACA